rnacentral:lncRNA from 10 species
UACCAAGCUUACAAGGAUGGCACACAUAAAUAAAGUGAUAGGCCAAAGUUGCAUUCUAACAUAGAUGUAAAAAACCUAUGUAAAAUAAAGCAAAAUAAAAUUAUUUAAACUCGGUGGUACUUCAAAAGAAUGGUAUAUUAUCACCUAAUAUGGUUAUUCUGAGAAUUCAAGAAUAUACAAUAUUUGGAAAUAUAUAAAAUAUACUGUAUUAACAUAUUAAAAGGGAAAAUAAUGUAAUCAUCUAGG